GUGGCGGCAGCGGACCGUGGAGGCCGGGUGCAGCCCCGUCGGCUGCGCGCUCUCUGCAGAAAAGGAUUUUCUACGCUCCCCGCCCAUCACUUGGAUCUCGUCUGGGGAGGGGCGGAUUUUUUUUCUGGAAGUACCCUUCUUCUCCACGGUGGAGGAUUUAAGGCUGGGCUCCAAUCGAGGCGGAGGCUGCAGGGCCCGCGGGGCGCCCCCCGCCCGGCGCACGCCUGCCCGGAGCCCGGGAAGGCGCAGCCCUGGGUGGGGGGGCCCGUGCACCCCCGGAGGCGGCAGCGGCGGUGAGUGCUCCCCUUCUUCCCGCCUGGCACCUUCCGCCAGCCAAGGCAGGGAUCGCGGCAGGUGGGUGCCCAAGCCCCCAGGGCCGAAGGGGUGUGGGGCGGCUGUCUGCGGGGUGGAUGGGAACGGGAGAGGGGAGGUGGCGGCGGGGGAGCGCGCGGUUCUCUCGGGACUCGGCGCGAGACGCUUGUCUGGGCUGCGAUUGCCGCCGCUGCCGCCACCCCGGCUCCCCCUCGGACCCCUCCCCCGCUCCCCAGAGGGGCGUGUGAAGCCGGGAGGUAGGAAGGGGGCGAGGCCGCCCCCAGCCUCCCUAGUGCCUGGGCUUGGAAAUUGACGAGGCGGUGGAGCGUCCGCGUCCCCGCCCCCACCCCGGAAAGCCCGCUCGGGAAACUGACUCGCUGCGUGACCCCGAUCUCAAUGCCGCGCGCGGAGCAGGCCGGCCGCGCCCGCCGCUCCACGUGCGCCCGAGCCCCGCUGGCAUGGGCGGCGGCGCCUGCGGGGGCCGGGCCCCGGGGAUCCCGGACUAGCCGGGAACCACCGUCCCCAGAGAGUUACCGCCGCCCCCUAAAGUUGUCAGCUCCCUCCCCCCGAGAAGCAGGCAGCCCUGGCGCGUUGGCUUUAGCUUCUGCAGGACGGGGGCAAAAAAACUAGGUUCCGGGGUGCGGAGCGGGGUGUCUGUGCCCGAGACAACACCAAGUUAGGAAAAAGAAGUUAGAAAAAAAAAGAAAAAGGCAUUUUGAUUUGGGGGUGGGGGGAGUGGCGUUUCUGGUUUCUCUUUGCUUCCAAUCCCCACCAAGCGGAGCGUUGGAAUGCGCCGCUUAUGUCCUCUGAGGACACAUCCAUAUUUAUAAUUUAUUUUUAGGAGAAGUUGUGAAAAAGGGAGGGGGGUUAAAAUGAGGAGAAAAGGUGCGUGGGGGAGUGGCCUUUCCAGAACCUAGAGGCUAAUUAAGCUAUUAAAAUGGAAAUCAUUUCCCCCAACUUGGGCGCGCAGCAAAUUUGACUUUAAUGAGAGACGAUUAAGGACACAAAUAACCAAACUUUAUUUAGCUGGAGAUGGGGUGGGGGGAACUGUACGAGGCACCUCGGACACCCGAUUUAUCCGCUGCUAAGGGACGUUUGGGGCACCCCUCGUGUUGUCCGGGAAGCUUUUAGGCCUGUUUGCUGGGCGAGAUUGGUGAUUGCUCCGGGAGGGAAGAGACACCCCGGGAUCAAGCGAUCCUCUUGCCCUCAGCCAUGGUGUGGCAAAUGUCCCCUCCUCCCACAGCGACCCCCUGGCAUUUUGGUGAGAUGAACCGCCGCCCUGAGGGAACACCCAGUAACGAUUCCUUCAGUGAUCCCGGUUCUCCAAACUCUUGCCUCAAAGGCGGCCUGCCCCGGUGCUGUCAGCCGUGAAUGGGGACUCACUUCUUGGGAAAAGAGGCUUUUGGAGGCUGUGGUCUCAGAAUCGGGGUUUUGAGGGCGAGAUGAGUUUAUGUUUUAUCCAACUGGCCCUCAAAGUCCCGCUUUUGGGGUCAUUCUGGACAGCGAGGGACUCAGGCCCCGGCAGUCUCGGGAGGGUGAGGGCAGAGAGCUACCACCCCCAGGGAGCGCGUCCAAAACCCGGCUGGCGGGGGGGCGGGGAAAGAGGGGGAGGUUUGCUACUUUCCAUAAAACUAAAAGGUCCCUUCGAGGGCGGUAUUCUUAUAAGUGUGUGUUCUCAGUUUGCCGAACCUACUGUGUUUUCCAAGGGCUUCUCUCCUUGGGAGGCCGAAAAACGAUACAAGGAGGAGAAAGUACAUUCCCCCUGACCACCCCCACAGUGGUUUAAGGGACAGUAUUGGAUUGGAAAGGAAUUAGUAGGAUGUCAAUUGUGGCAAAGUGUUUGAAGCCCCCAAAUAAGGCGCUCCUGAAAUGAUGAAUUGUAACGACAUUAGAUUUGUCUUUACGUUUGCUAAAUUAGGAGAAACCAGCUGUUUGCUUCCACCUGGAAUUGCAACAUUUCUUUGCAACUCUUUGCUGUUGAAGGCGUUCUUUUUGUUCUGUUUUGUUUUGUUUGUUUGUUUGUUUGUUUUUUGGGGACAGAAUCUCGCUCUGUCCAGGCUCUGACCAGGCUGGAGUGCAGUGGCGCGAUCUUGGCUCACUGCAACCUCUGCUUCCCGGGUUCAGGCGAUUCUCCUGCCUCAGCCUCCCGAGUAGCUGGGAUUACAGGCGCCCGCCACCACGCCCGGCUAAUUUUUUUGUAUUUUUAGUAGAGACGGGGUUUCACCGUGUUAGCCAGGAUGGUCUCGAUCUCCUGACCUCGUGAUCCGCCCACCUCAGCCUCCCAAAGUGCUGGGAUUACAGGCAUGAGCCACUGCACCCAGCCAGGCGUUUUAUAGAAGGCUGGAUAAUACGUUCAGGGGAAGUCUCUAAAGCAAGGGUAGUGUGUAUAAAUCCCCGUCGCAGAACAUUAACCUUCAGUUGUGUGUACACACACACACACACACACCCUAUAUAGUUGUAACCUAUAUAGACUUUCACACAUCCUAAGUUAUUUGCAAGUCUAGAUUUAAAUUAAGUCUACAUAGCAGGGAAUAGAAAAGUGAGCUGUACCUGGAAAAAACCUUUGAACACAGCGUUCUUGAUACAAGAUUUAGGAUUUGAAAGACAUGGCACAUGUACACACAGAUGACAUUUGUGCUGCCUUGGCAAAAACAGUUCUUUACUUCCAGAGUUCUUUCUCUUUAGUAUGGGACACGAUGAAACAGCACAAUUUUCAGGAGUCCACAAUUCCAGCGAGGCGCGUGGAUGGGAAAUUGUCACGUUGUGAAUUGUGUUUGUGCUUUGCUAAAUCGCCACCCGGAGCUGACUGUCAAAUCCUAUUUGCUUUGCUAAAUAAGGAUAUCUCAUCAAAUUAGCCUUUAAUGAUACUUCUACAAAUAGGGUGUUUUACAUGAAUUAACGAGGCCGGAACACUGACUGUUUCUCCAAGAUACUGAGCUAUAAUGGAGGCGACGAAGCCGAAUGUUAAAAUUACUGAAUUGUUAAGUGUGCAAAAUCAGACAGAAUUUAGUGCUAAAUGUGAAACAAUUUCUGCUUUAAUGGUGAGCAUUCGCAACAGCACAAGCAUUACUUAUAUUCAGCCGUCUGAAACUGUGCAUGUAAUUAUGAAUACAUUUAACAAACUUUAACCCCCCUCUGAGUCUGGAAACAGUCUAGUAUGGUGAAGAGAUUAUAAAUCAGCAUUUUGCAGUGAGAAGUCAUCAUUAAUUCAGCAAAGAAUCACAGCUUCUUUUCAGAUCCUUCCCACCACCCUCCUACACACCCCCCUCAACCAAUAAGGAAAAAAAAAAUUCAGCAUGGAACUGCUGGAUACACUGAAUAUAUUUUGGCUUUUCUCUUUUUGCCUCUGUGUGAGAAACUUCAUUAAGCAGUUGCUGUUCCCUCCCCACCCCCGCUAACCCCCAAAGAAGUGUGGAUUUAAGAAAAAAAAAAACAAAAAACAAGCAACUUUGAAUUUUGUUCUUAGCAAUCCCCAAGCCAUAGCUGAUCUCAGAGAGGCAAAAAAGAUGUUUCAAUAGAAAAGAAUACGGUAUGGCCAGGAGUAAAAUAUUUAGAGGUGGUUCUGCAAUGAAUAUGAUACUUCCUUAAAAAUAAAAUAUAUGUUGGUGAUUCAAACCAAUGAAAGUUGGAAAAGUCCCUCCAAGGGAACACUCUCUCUGUUUCCCUUCCCAGCAACCCCCCAACUUAACGUUAUGAACAGAAAGAUGGAAAUUCUUGCCAGAUCAACUAUAGCCUCCUAACGAUCAGCUCACCCUCCUUUAAUUUUGAUUGUGGAGCAAAUACAGCUAUUUUAGCCAUGAGGAUAAAAAUGAGUGCAGUGAAAAGUUAAGGCAAACUUGGUACUUAAAAUCACUCACCAGAAUAAAGUGCGUGUACAAACAAAACAUUGCUGAUCAGUUACUUUAAGCAGGCAUUUUCUUUCUCGCCUGAGCACCCCAAACACAGAAAAAUGUAGAGUUCUUUUUGCUUCUUGUAUCUGGAGCAGGUGAAAAUAAACCCUGACGCUCACAAACAUGAUAUAAACAACAUACUUUUCAGGCCUAGUAGCCAAGCCGACUUUUCAGGGAAAGAGAUGGACGUUGAAAGAAUUUAGGAGUGGACUUGGGGUUCCCUCCAUCACCCCAUGCCCAGCUGACCCCUUCUGCCCUUCUCAUGACCUCUUUUCAAAGCAGCCAGUGUUCAGAUGCUGCCUUUCCAGCGUCCCCAGUUGUAGGGGACAUAUGCACAUAUUUACCAAGCUUUAAAAUAAGGUUUCUGAUUUUAUAUCAUCCGUCUGAGUUUACGGAACCACAAAGCAAACUUCUUUCUCCGUGUCCCUGAAAUGCUGCCCCACUGCAGCAAAGGGGACUUCGCCUGGGCAGGGAGAGGAGUUAGUGGCUGGUUGCGCCUAAGGUUAGCUGUGCGGUGUGGUAUGACAGUUUUCUCAGAGAUGUGCAAAAAUCUAGGCUCUCUUGCUGGAAUCGUGUGAGAUCAGUGCUGGGCCUGUUGGCAUUGGCAUUUGUGCCCAAGACAGCCCAGACCUCUGCCAGCCGAGGCCCAGAUGUGGCCUCAGAGCCACUACUGGUGCCCAGACAAGUCCAGACAGGUGCCUGGGGGUCUUUCCUCCCGAGACGAAGCCUGCAGCAGUUCAGCCAGAAGAUGGGGUAUUUGGCUCUCAAAGUCAGCCUCCCCAGAGACUCUGCAGGGUUUAAUAGCCUGGUGACCCUGUGGGCUCUGGCGAGGGCAGAACCCCACUUUGCUUUCCAAAUGCUCAAAGGGGAACAGAUGAGGCUAUCCCACAGGCUCAGAGCAAAUCUGUCCUGUGUGAGUGCAAACGUGGUUCUAGAAGAUUCAGAGGCAAAGCUGAGCUUUUGCAGCCCAGCCCCAAGCCCUUGCUCUCGAGCACCAGGGCUGCGAUCCUUCGACUUGGGGUGGGCCUAGGAGGCGUAGCUCCCAGCCAGCAAGACAACACAUAACACAUCUGAGUUACCGUGCAUGUGUUUGCUGGUCUCUUCUCCAGCUCCGUGAGGCCUCCCACCUGGGAGCUGAGCCUUUUGCUUUGAUCAGGCUGGGAGGAAAACCUAGGCCAGGAAGGGCCGGGCUGCAGGCUGGAAGUGGAAAGAAGUGGGCCAGGUGGACAGAAAAAGGGGCCACCAACUAAGCCACCUUGGGGGUCGGCCCAGAGUGAGAACUGGGCUGGCAUUCUGGGUUCAAACACACAAGAAAACUGUCUGCAGCCUCUCUGCCCUGGCACCAACAUGUGCCUGCUCCAGGAAGUUGCACCCAGCCCUGAGUCAGCCAAACCCGUGGGACUCCCAUUUGGCCCCAGUAACUGGACUCCAGGCUACCAAAGGCCUCGUGGGUUCUCGAUCGUAUCUUAGAAUGGCGUUAAAAGGUCCAGACCCGGCACCUGUAGGCCAUGCCGUAUUUAGCCCUAGGUUCACCCGGAGAAUAUUUUAGGUGCUACUUGAAAGAAGAGAUCUGGGCCCUAGUUGCCGGCUGUCACAUGGCAAGGGUAGAAUCGCUCCCUCACAGACCUGGCCGAGAUGGCCGGGUGCUCACUGGUACAGGUGCCCAGAGUCCCUGCCAGAGCUUCGGGGCCAUGCGACGGGUGCCAAGGAGCCAGCUAGCGACUGGGGCGUCGGUUCUGUGUGGGGAUGCCUUUUCACCCCGUUCUCAAUCUGAAGGCAGUGAAUCCACUUCCAUUCACAGAACUCACAGAGGCCUCUCCUCUCUGAGAUGGCCCAGUGUGAUAUCCCAGGCUGCGUAGUAAGCUCCUCCUCUGGUGUCAGCCAUGUGGAGGGGUUAACCCUUUCCUGGCUCUGAGGGUGCUGGCUGGCACAGGGGGCACCCACCUGCAGGGCCUCAAAGGUUAUAUGCCUUGGGGAAGACACCCUGAACUCCUUAGUCCUCAGAUCUUAGUGGCUGAACCAAGAGAUGGCACCUGGGACCUUAGCAGUAAAACCCGUCCCCUUUUUUUUGAGACAGUGUCUUACUCUGUUGCCCAGGCUGGAGUGCAGUGGUGAGCACAGCUCACUGCAGCCUGAACUUCCUAGGCUCAAGCCUCAUCCUCCUGAGUAGCUGGGACUACAAGCACACACCACCACACCUGGCUAUUUUUUGCAGAGACUUGGGGGGGGUCUCACUGUGUUGCCCAGGCUGUUCUCAAACUCCUGGCCUCAAGCAGUCCUCCCACUUUGGCCUCCCAAAGUGCAGGGAUUACAGGCGUGAGCCCCCACGCCAGCCGGUUUGCCCCUUUUGCACCACCAGCGAUAACCACUCAGCUCCCCUACCCAAGCCUUAGUCCUUCUGUCCGUGUUGUGGAAACCAGGUAUUUUCAUCAGCAUUUCCAAGGGGACUAAGUUUCUCCCAUUCCAGAGGAGGAGGUGUUGAAGGAUAACUUAGAUCAUUAAUGAGGGUCUGGAACAGUCAUCUGAAGUUUGGGGGAAACGUCACGUCUCCUAUGAUGCGCCUGGCUUUAGGGAAUAAUCCUUGUAUCCAUUUUGGGAACCUGCUCUGGGAUUCCAGAUCUGUGGUUUUCUGAGCACGUCUGUGUGGAAGCUGCUGCACUGAGACCUAUUUAGCCAAUUAUUGAGAAGAUGAGGUCCCUUUCGUGAGUCUGCACGGAGCCGCCGUACACCAUGAAAGCGCUCACUUGUUUAAAGUUUGCUCUAACUUUGUACAUUUUUUCCUUUUUAGUUUUGGCUCUUGGUGCUCUGAGAGCUACCACUUCCUGCCAGCUGGUUCGUUACCGCAGGGAAAAUGAGGGACUUUUGGGGGCAGAUGUGUUUCCAUUCCACUAUCAUAAUGCCCCUAAAAAUCCUUAUUGCUCUUGCAGUAUUCCUCGGGGGUCCCUGGGCCAGAAAGACAUCAGCUCGGAGUUCCUCCAGCAACUCAAAGAAGAGAGAAAGCUGUUCCCCAAACUCUUCCGCUGUAGCGCCUUCUGGGUCCCUGGUAGAUGCCUUCUUGUGCUCAAAACCGGUUAUCACUGUGAAAAAUUGAAAGACGCCAUGCGCAGACACUGGUUGCUAAACGUGCUUUUGCCCUCCAGGGGCAGACGCUGAGAUCCGGCCUGGGAAGGAGUACAGCUGUGGCUCCCCAUCAGCGUCAGCAUUUGCUCUGGGGGGUUGUAGGGGGAGGUAGGGAAAGCGGAAAGAAACAAGUGUUACCUGUUUGACGAGGCCUGGUCCUUGCAGCCAGGGCCUCCGGGAUCAUCGCCUUGGCAGGGGGCCCUGGGGCAGUCCUGGCUUUCCUGCUAGCUCCCUGAGACAGAACACUUUCCCCGCUCGCUGCCUCAGUUUCCCCAUACACCAAGGGAGGGGCAGCACCCCCUGCUCUGGCUUCAAAGGGUUCUUGGAUGUAGCCAAUGUUAUAUAUAAAAAGCUCUAACGUUGUAUAAGCUCUGAAGGUGCUUUGAAAAUUGGAGAGUCCAUGCAUUAAACAUGGAAGGUAAUAAUAUGAAUACACACAGAGGAAUUCAUGGGUGGGGAGACGGCAGCCCAGCACUGAGCCUGGGUUUCUGGGAUCAGCCAGGCCUGCAUUCCAGCCCGAGCUCUGCGCCUCUCUUGCUGUGUCACCCGGGACAAGUGAGUCAGUCUCUCUGAGCCACCAGCUCCUCAGGCAUGAAACCUGUAACUCAGACUCCCAAGUCUGAUUUGCACAUCUCUGAUUUUAAGCGGCGCCGGCUAAAGGUGAAAAUUAUUCUAGUAGGUAUUCUUUGCACCGCUGAUUUGUACUUCAGGCAAUUGGUUGGUUUUCCAUUUAGGGUCGGGAGACAGGGGCCCUUUUUUUGUCCAUCAAUUGAUGUCAGUUAAACAAAAAAGAGUGGGUGUUUUGGAAGAAAAAUAUUAAGCAACUACAGCUGCCCUGAGGAUGGGACAGAAAUCAGAAAGUCGUGUGUAAAGUUUCAGAGGUCCACUUUUAGAGAAUUCUUGUUUAUCUCAGGGAUUUUCCGCACUCCUGUAGUCGGUGUGGGGAGGGGUGGGGGGAGAUGGGGGAGUUGCCAGUUCAGAUCUGUAGAGGGCUCCAGCAUGACAAAACUGGGUGUCACACAUCUUCCUUUUGGGGGUCGGGAAACCACCCUUCCCUGCUCACCGACACCACUGGGACCCCUCACCCCCCCACUCCUGCAUUGAUCCAUAGCUCAGAUUUCUCUCUCAUUUUAGGGUCACGAUGACUCAGCACCCUCCUUUCUGGCCAGGGCACCUCCCUUGGCCUCUAGGGGCACUUGCCUGACAGGCCUCACUGUGCCGGACCUGGGAGCCAGCUGCCCACCAGCCCCCUGGGACUCUGGUUUUGCAGGGAAACCAUGGGUGAUCAGUCCCAGCCGGCAGGGGCCAACUGCGGUUUCACUUUCUGCUGCAUCAUGGGGUGGGGGGUGGCAGCGGGCCCCCGCUGGCCAGCUAGAGCAGGCACUGAGAGGCCUGCAGACAGCUGCCGGCCCUGCUGCCAGAACGCACCCCCCACCCACCCCCUGCAGCCUGCCAGGAUGGGGGCUGGGCUCUCAGGAGCCCCUUAAAUCUUUCCACCUGCACAGUGUCGGGGACCUCAAGUGAGAAAAGCCUGGAGCCGAUGAGAUGGUUUCCUGAGCUGUUGGAGAUUCCCCCAAAACAACCUUUUUUUUUUUUUUUUUUUUUUUAAUUGAGACAGGGUCUCUCUUUGUCACUCAGGCUGGAUUGCAGCGGUGCAGUCAAAGCUCACUGCAGCCUCGAACUCCUGAGCUCAAGCGAUCGUCCUGCCUCGGCCUCCCAAAGUGGUUGGGCUACAGGUGCAUGCCACCUAGUCCUGCCCAAAACAAGCUUGUAAAUCACGCAGGCUAGAAACUCAAGAGAGCUGUGAUUGUUGCUUCUGGGUCAGAUUGCUGUGGCUAGACACUGCUUCUGCCCUUCCUUCCCUGGAUAGAUGGCUGCUGAGGCCCUACUGUGUGCGGAGCUGGGUGCCAGGUGCUGGAGGUACAGCAGGGAGCCAGACAGCCCCUGCCCGCAUGGGGCUCACAGUUGAGUCAGGGGAGACAGACAAAAGAAUCAAAGAAAUAAUCCAGCCGGGUGCGGUGGCUCACGCCUGUAAUCCCAGCACUUUGGGAGGCCAAGGCGGGUGGAUCACGAGGUCAGGGGAUCGAGACCAUCCUGGCUAACAUGGUGAAACCCCGUCUCUACUAAAAAUACAAAAAAGUUAGCCGGGUGUGGUGGCGGGCGCCUGUAGUCCCAGCUACUCGGGAGGCUGAGGCAGGAGAAUGGCGUGAACCCGGGAGGCGGAGCUUGCAGGGAACGGAGAUUGAGCCACUGCACUCCAGCCUGGGCAACAGAGCGAGACUCCGUCUCAAAAAAAAAAAAAAAAAAAGAAAGAAAGGAAAAAAAAGAAAUAAUCCCACGUUACGAUGGAAAUUUCACGCUGAAUACUUGGUGUUAGGAUCUCAGGAAGGGAUCAUGCAUACAUGUCUGUCAUGAGUCAACUCCCAGAACACAUAGCAUAGGAGGCAAGGGAAGGCUGCCCCUUCACCCGCUAAAAGUUUGCUAAAAAUAACUGACAGGCCAGGCAUGGUGGCUCACGCCAGUAAUCCUAGUACUUUGGGAGGCCGAGGUGGGAGGAUCACUUGAGCUCAGGAGUUCAAAAUGUUCCUGGGCAACAUAGUGAGACCUUGUCCCUAUUUUAUAUUUAUUUUUUAAAAGUUUUUACCAAAGAAAUGACUGACAACAAGUGGAUUAAUAGGAGAAAAAAGCAUAUGAGCCGGGCGUGGUGGCUCAUGCCUGUAAUGCCAGCACUUUGGGAGGCCGAGGCAUGAGGAUCACGAGCUCAGGUGAUCAAGACCAUCCUGGCUAACACGGUGAAACCCCGUCUCUACUAAAAAUACAAAAAUUAGCCAGGCGAGGUGGUGCACGCCUGUAGUCCCAGCUACUCGGGAGGCUGAGGCAGGAGAGUGGCCUGAACCCGGGGGGCGGGGCUUGCAGUGAGCCGAGAUCGCCUCACUGCACUCCAGCCUAGGCGACAAGAGCAAGACACCAUCUCAAAAAAAAAAAAAAAAAAGAAAAAGGCAUAUGAAUUUAUUCACCAUGCAUAAACGCCAGGGGAGUGGCGGGAGAAUGAUUAUCCAAUAACCCAGUGAAGUCCAUCGCUGGGCACAGUGGCUCACACCUGUAAUCCUGGCAGUCUGGGAGGCCGAGUCAGGUGGAUUGCUUGAGGUCACUAGUUUGAGACCAGCCUGGGAAACAUGGUGAAACCCUGUCUCUACCAGAAAUACAAAAAAAAAAAAAUUAGCCAGCCUUGGUGGUGCACACCUGUGCUCCCAGCUACUCGGGAGGCUGAGGUGGGAGGAUCGCUUGAGCCCCGGAAGCAGAGGUUGUAGUGAGCCGAGAUCACGCUGCUGCACUCCAGCCUGGGUAACUGAGACCUUGUCUCAAAAAAAUAUAAAAAUAUAAAUAAAUACUUCCGUCAUAGAAGGGAGAUGGGGGAAAUGCGGCCACUCUCAGGGGUAGUAAAUGAUUUUUAGGAGGAAUGAAUGGGUCUGAUGCUGGGACAACGGUCAGUGAAUAAUUCCUUUAGGGAGUCGAAUGGGAUCGGAGGACAGAUGAUAGUUUGGGAUGAAGUCCGUCUGCACUCCAGGUGUGGUGUUUCAUUUCAUUCUCUUCCUCUGUGAUAUGAGUUUUCAUCUCUGGUUAAUGAAAUUUCAGUGAAGGAGUCGAAGGCAAUUGUGUUCCUCUUUGGCGGGUGUGGUUUCCAGGUAGAUAAGGGAACUCCAGAUAGCAGGCUCCUCCUAUGCUUUGGGACGGACAGAGGAUGGAGAAACAGGAUUGGGGGUGGGGGCGGGGGGGUGGUGUUGGAGAGACCUUGAGGCUGCUUCAGUUGAGCACAUCAAAGAGCCAUAUUUUGGGGUACCGUUUUCUGAGCCCCAACAAUAGGUAGGGUUAAGAAUAGAGACCUGGGAGCCAGCUGUCCUGUGUUUGAACUUGACUCUUCUACUGAGUGGUCGGGUGACCUCUGCCAAGAUACUUGCCCUCUUUGUGCCUCAGUUCCCCCAUCUACAGUUACUAGAAUAUUAGGGCACAGCAUAGGGAUGUGGUGAGGAUGAAAUACAUGAACGUCUGUAAAGAACUAAGCACGGCGCCUGACAUUGAUGAUGUGCUAUAUAAGUCUUAGCUAUUAUAUAAGAAUAAUAAAUGUGAACUAUUAUUGUAAGAUGAAAUGCGCCAGCCACAGCAGGCCAGGAACAUCAGUAAUGUGGCCGAGCCUGUCCUCUGUGCGAAACGCUUUACAGGCCCUCAUCUCACCUAAUGGCCACAGCCAACCUGCAGGUGAGCCUAAUUGACAUCUGAGGCUGGGGAAACUGAGGCUCAGGCCGGUGAAGAGAGGUAUUUAAGGUUAACCAGCAGGCAAGCAGUGUGACCUCAGAUGCAGGGCUGGUUUCCAGGGGCUGGGACCCACGCUUAGUUGACUGCUUUGAGGCCAAGGCAUGGGAAUUGCUUGAGACCAGGGGUUGCAGACCAGCCUGGGCAACAUAGCCACACUCUCAUUUCUUUAAAAACAAAAACAAAAAAAUGACCCAGGCAUGGUGGCACGCCCCGGUAGUCCCAGCUACUCAGGAGGCUGAGGGGGUAGGUUGGCUUGAGCCCAGGAUGUCCAGGCUGCAGUGAGCUGUGAUAGUGCCACCUUAACAAUUUUGCUCCAGCCUUACUAACUUUGGAACAAGGGGCCUCACAUUUUCAUUUUGCAAAUUAUGUAGCCAAUCCUGCCCUGAUCUAAAGUACUCCAGAGCUGUCACUCUUAACUCCUACCAGCCAUAUAUCACACAGCCAGGCCCACAGUCACCUUCCAAGUCAUCAGGAUGGUGUUUUGUAGUAGGACUGAGAUCCUGGGAGAAUGUGAAGACUCCUUAUGGGGCUGAAUUGCCAACAUUAAAAGGCAGGCGGGGCAGUUGCUAAGGGCAGAGGGCAUCACUCCUUCAUUGCUGUAUCCUCAGGGCCUGGUCUGUGUUAGAUGUUCAGUUAAUAGUUUUAACAUGAAGCCAGUGAAUCGGAGACUGCUCUAUCUCCCCGGACCCAACCUACUUAAAUGACACCUUCCAGGGAAGCAAGUCAGUGGUGCAGUGUCAGAUGUCAAUCAUCCCGAACACCACCCUCCAUCCCCCAGUAGACUUCUGGACAGCCCCUGAGGGUCCCCUAAGACCCUCCCCCUGCCCCAAACCUGUGUGCCCACACCUUGGAGUAGAUUCCUGCUUAACGGGCUCUGGUGGGGGGUUCAGAGGUAACACAAGUAUUUAAAGGCAUGUGGAGGCCAGGCGCGGUGGCUCACACCUGUAAUCCCAGCACUUUGGGAGGGCAAGACAGGUGGAUCACCUGAGGUCAGGAGUUUGAGACCAGCCUGGCCAACAUGGUAAAAUGCCGUCUCUAGUAAAAAUACAAAAAUUAGCCUGGCCUGGUGGCGUGCGCCUGUAAUCCCAGCUACUCAGGAGGCUGAGGCAUGAGAAUCGCUUGAACCUGGUGGCGGAGGUUGCAGUGAGCCGAGAUCUCACCACUGCACUCCAGCCUGGGUGACAGUGAGACUCCAUCUCAAAAUAAUUAAAUUAAAAAUAAAGGCAUAUGGGCUUGGCUUCUCGAGUGCCUAUAGUGGGGAAGAGGCAGAGUAUAGCCCAAAGAAUACUUGGAUGUUAGUUCAGGCAGGUUCAAGACCCAGCCAGGGGUCAUGGGUUAUGGUCUUCUGAAUUGGUUAAUGAGAGGGUUUGAAGGAAAGAUUCCUUUUCCUCUGAAGUUGGAAGUUUAUUGACACUCAAAACUCCUAAAUGGUACUAAGAAGCAAAGAAUGGUUUCAAAAGCCUAGAAGAUAUUUAUAACAAAACUUUUUUUUUUUUUGAGACAGUGUCUCAGUCUGUUGCCCAGGCUAGAGUGCAGUGGUGCCAUCUCAGCUCACUGCAACCUCUGCCUCCAGGGUUCAAGUGAUUCUCCCACCUCAGCUUCAGUAGCUGGGAUUAUAGGCACACACCACCGUGCCCAGCUAAUUUGUGUAUUUUUAGUAGAGAUGGGGUUUCACCAUGUUGGCCAGGCUGGUCUCGAACUCCUGACCUCAAAUGAUCUGCCCGCCUCAGCCUCCCAAACUGCUGGGUUUACAGGCGUGAGCCCCCACACCUGGCCAAUAUAUUUUUAUAAUGUUCUUUGCCAGCUGUUUGCACAGGUAUGAUCCAUUGUUUCAAAUAAUGCUGUGAAGCAGAAGCUGUCCUCACUUUCUAAAUAACAUCAUAACCAUCGAUAUGUAUUGAAUGCUUUGUAUGUACUAGGCGCUGCACCUGUAUGAAGUCAGUCAUUUCAGUUGCAUAAGCAACAUAUAAAAAGGGAUUAUUGGUAUCUCCAGCUUACUGAUGAGGAAAGAGAGAUGCACUGACGUCCAAGGCCACAUACCCGGCAUGUGAGGAACUGGGGCUCAGGCCUGGAUCUUCCAUUCCAAGGGUCAGCAGCCCAUUUCUGUAAAAGGCCACAUUGUGAAGAUUUUAGCCUUUGCAGGCAAUACAGUCUCUGUUGCAGCUGCUCAACUCUGCCUUUUUUUUUUGGUUGGGAGGGACGGAAUCUUGCUCUGUUGCCCAGGCUGGCGUGUGGUGGCGCAAUCUCGGCUCACUGCAACCUACGAUUCCCUGGUUCAAGUGAUCCUCCUGCCUCAGCCUCCUGAGUAGCUGAGAUUACAGGUGCCCGCCACCAUGCCCAGCUAAUUUUUUUUUUGUCUCAGUGUUUUAUUUUUUUAUUUAUUAUUAUACUUUAAGUUCUAGGGUACAACGCCCAGCUAAUUGUUGUAUUUUUAGUAGAGAUAGGGGUUUCAGCAUGUUGGCCAGGCUGGUCUCCAUCUCCUGACCUCGUGAUCCACCCCCCUCGGCCUCCCAAAGUGCUGGGAUUACAGGUGUGAGCCACCGUGCCCGACCAACUCUGGCAUUUUAACUCAAAAGUAGCCACAGAUAGUACACAAACAAACGGAUGUGGCUGUGUGUUGCAAUAAAACUUUAUUCACAAAAACAAGGAGUGGGCCAAACUUGGCCCACAGGCCGUAUUUCCUGACUCCUGUUCCAGAGCAAAAGCUUAUCCUUCAGUUAGAACAUCAUGAACUUGGCCCUGGCAACGUUCUUUUCUCCCCACCUGUGAGGUGACAGAGUUAUGUUUCGGAACAGAUGACCACUGUCUCUGGAGAGGUUAGGUUGGCUCCUCCUUCUUUGAGGGAAUUCUGCAGCUCUUGGAAAUUAGAUCUAUUAGGAUUUCUUGGUGACAGCCACAAUAGAAUACCCUGGGGAUUUCAACAUUGUAAUUUUAGUAGCUGUCAACUGAGUAACUUUUAAAGAGGAAAGAAAGUGUGGUAGUUCAGAAAAAUACCUCAGUGGUUCACUUUGCCUGUGGAAGCCAUUCUUUAAACUGAGAAUAAAAAUCUUUUUUUUUUUUUUUUUUUAUAAUCAGUGUCUUGCUCUGUUGCCCAAGCUGGAGUGCACUGGUGCCAUUAUAGCUCACUGCAGCCUUAAACUCCUGAGCUCAGGUGAUCCUCCUGCCUCAGCCUCCUGAGUAGCUGGGACUACAGAUGAACAUCACUCUUGGCUUUUUUUUUUCUUUUUUUUGAGAUGGAGUCUCGCUCUGUCGCCCAGGCUGGAAUGCAGUGGUGCGAUCUCGGCUCACUGCAAGCUCCGCCUCCCGGGUUCACGUCAUUCUCCUGCCUCAGCCUCCUGAGUAGCUGGGACUACAGGCGCCCACCACCACGCCUGGCUUUUUUUUUUUUUUUUUUUUUUUUUUUGUAUUUUCAAUAGAGACGGGGUUUCACUGUGUUAGCCAGGAUGGUCUCGAUCUCCUGACCUCAGCCUGCCAAAGUGCUGGGAUUACAGGCAUGAGUCACCGUGCCCGGCCACUCUCGGCUAAUUUUUUUAUUCUUUUAUAGAGUCGGGGUCUCACUACGUUGCCCAGGCUGGUCUUGAACUCCUGGCUUCAAGUGAUCCUCCUGCAUCAGCCUCACAAAGUGCUGGAAUUGCAGGCGUAAGCCGCCAUGCCCGGCUGAAAAUAGCUUAAGACAGAAUGGCAGGGGUGUGUGUGUGUGUGUGUGUGUGUGUGUGUGUGUGUGUAGGGAGAGGGUGGAGAAGAGAAAGGGAAUUUCCCAAGAGGGCAGAGAGCUGGAGCCAAAGGAUUCCUAGCAGGAGGGUCAGAGAGGAAGGUGUGACUUCUUUUUUUAAACAGCUUUAUUGAGAGAUUAUUCACUUAACGUACACUUCACCCAUUUAACAUGUAUGAUUCAAUGUCUUUGAGUGUAUACACAGAGUUGUACAACCAUCACAAUCAAUGUUAGAACACCAUCAACUCAAAAAGAAACCCUGGGCCCAGCACUUUGGGAGGCCAAGGCAGGCGGAUCAUCUGAGGUCAGGAGUUUGAGACCAGCCUGGCCAACAUGGUGAAACCCCGUCUCUACCAAAAGUACAAAAAUUAGCCAGACGUGGUGGCGUGUACCUGUAAUCCCAGCUACUCAGAAGGCUGAGGCAGAAGAAUCGCUUGAACCCCGGAGGCGGAGCUUGCAGUGAGCCGAGAUCAUACCAUUGCACUCCAGCCUGGGCAACAGAGUGAGACUCCAUCUCAAAAAAAAAAAAAAAAAAGAAAAGAAACCCAGAACCCUCCCGCAUCCUAAUCCUCCAACGCCCCCAACCCUGAGCAAUCACAAAUCUACUUUCUGCCCCUGUGGAUUUGUUUAUUCUGCACAUUUCCUAUAAAUGGAAUCACACAAUUAAUGCGGUCCUUUGUGACUGGAUCCUUUUACUUAGCAGGACGUUCUCAAGGUUCAGCCACACUGUAGCAUGGAUCAGAACUUCAUUCCUUCUUACAGCUGAAUCAUAUUCUGUAUUAUGGAUGGGCCACCAUUUUGUUUAACCACUGUCAGUGAUGGACAUACGGGUUGUUUACACUUUUUGGCUGCUAUGAAUAAUGCAGCAAUGAACAUUCAUGUGUUAGUCUUUGUGUAAACAGAUGCUUUCAUUUCUCUUAGGCAUAUAGGUCAGAGUAGAAUUGCUGGGCCAUAAGGCAACCCUAUGUUUAUCAUUUUGAGGAACUGCCAGGGGCAAGUCUUAAUAUAUUGCCUUUUUAUUUUUAAUUUUUGUUUUUAUUUUCUUGAAACGGGGUCUGGCUCUGUCACUCAGGCUGGAGUGCAGUGGUGCAAUCACAGCUCACCACAGCCUUGAACUCCUGAGCUCAGGCCAUCUGCCUGCUUCAGCCUCCCGAGUAGCUGGGACCACAGGCACAUGCCACUAUGCCUGGCUAAUUUUUUAUCUUUUGUAACAAUGAGGUCUUGCCAUGUUGCCAGCUGGUCUUGAAUUCCUAGGCUCAAGUGAUCCUUCCACUUUAGCCUCCCAAAGUGUUGGGAUUAGAGGCAUGAGCCACUGUGCCUGGCCUUUAUUGCCUUUUUUUUUUUUUUUUUUUUUUUGAGAUGGACUCUCGCACUGUCGCCCAGGCUGGAGUGCAGUGGCGCCAUCUCAGCUCACUGCAAGCUCCACCUCCCAGGUUCACGCCAUUCUCCUGCCUCAGCCUCCCGAGUAGCUGGGACUACAGGCGCCCACCACCACGCCCGGCUAAUUUUUGGUAUUUUUAGUAGUAACGGGGUUUCACCAUGUUAGCCAGGAUGUUCUCGAUCUCCUGACCUUGUGAUCCGCCUGCCUCGGCCUCCCAAAGUGCUGGCAUUACAGGCGUGAGCCACUGUGCCCGCCUUUUUAAACUUUGUAUUAUAGAGUUUAAAUUGUGAGUGAUGGCUCACACCUGUAAUCCCAACACUUUGGGAGGCCAAGGCCAGAGGAUCACUUGAGCCCAAGAGGAUGGGACUACAGUCAGCUAUGAUCACAUCACUGUACUCCAGCCUGGGCAACAGAGCCAAACCCUGUCUGUAAAUAAAUAAAUAAAACCCCACCACUAUGUAUUAUGGAAAUUUCCCACCAUACCUGAAAGUAGUAUGUGGUAUGUAACAAGCAUCCAGUAUUCAUCAUCCAGGUUCGACACCGCUCGGCUUUUGCCUGUGUUCUUUCCCACUGAGUAUUUUAGAGGCAGCAUCGCACUUGAUGUUGUUUCUUUGUCUGAGAGCUCAACAUUUUCUUUUGUCCCAAAGCUUCCAAGUCUCCUGCACCCACAUCCUUGUGUGGGAUGGGAUUUGGGGAGAAUGGAUGAACUGGGGCAGAAUCAAUGUGGGGAAGGAAGGGAACAGCCCCUGAGAGGGGCAGGCCUGGCUACCUAAUUUGCAGGACCCAGGGCAAAAUGAAAACGGGAAGCCCUUUGUUCAAAAAUUAUUAUAAAGUUGAAGACAGCAACAGCAUGGGCUUGUGUCACUGCACACGUUCCAUGCCUCCGAUGGCUAUGACGGCUAGCCUUCUCCUGAGGCCAGCAAAAAGGUGCCCAAGCAGAACUGAUUAAGGGGACGCAGGAAUUUAUAGAGCCUCAGGUGUCUGGGUGAGACAGAAGUGCGCCCCUCACCUCCAAUCCCUGGAAAGAAUCCGAGGAUAGUUGGGUCUUCCCUGGCAUGUGAGACAAGAUUCAAGCCCAUUUCGUUUGAAUUUCCAAAAAUAAGAUGACCCCAGCUGACGUGGGUCAUGAGCACUUGAAAAAAAAAAAUAACCAUUUGGCCGGGCGCGGUGGCUCAUGCCUGUAAUCCCAGCACUUUGGGAGGCCGAGGCGGGUAGAUCACGAGGUCAGGAGAUCGAGACCAUCCUGGCUAACAUAGUGAAACCCCGUCUCUACUAAAAAUACAAAAAAUUAGCCGGGCGUGGUGGCGGGCACCUGUCGUCCCAGCUACUCGGGAGGCUGAGGCAGGAGGAUGGCGAGAACCCAGGAGGCAGAGCUUGCAGUGAACCGAAAUCACGCCACUACACUCCAGCCUGGGAGACAGCGAGACUCCGUCUCAAAAAAAAAAACACAAAAAAAAACACAAACAUUUGUCUUAAGCCUUCUUCCCUUCUUCCCUAAGCGCCCACAGUUGUUUUAUUUGGCCCCACCAUUUUGUCCUGGAUUCUGAGUGUACUGUGAUAUCCCAGCAGAUGACAGGGCUGCAGUCUUAAAAACAGAGGUUCCCUGGUUAGCAAAGGACACAGAGCAAGACCAGGAAUGCCCAACAUGGCAGGUGGCCACGGGAGACAUUGCCAACCACUCACUCAUGGCGCCCAGUCCCUCUGAGCUCAGACAGAACUCCAUUAGCUUUGCCAAAGGAUCAUCUUUACUCAAAACACCCAGAGAUUCGGAACCUCCAGUGUGUGUUGGGUUGACACCCAGGGACUUAUACUAACAGGACCCAAGGUGUACUUACGCUAACAGAGCCUUGUCAUGAAGGGUUAUAGGGUGACUGGCAAAGGAGAGGAGAGGGUGACAGAAAGGGACUCAUUGAGAACAGAUGAGAACUGUGCAGCUCCUCCUGUUCUCUGGAGGAUGUUCAUUCAUUUCACUACCUGUGUACCUACUGUUCAUAGGCGCUGGGGACUGAGCAUGAGCUGUAUCGUAAUCAAGACAGGUGAGGUUCCGACGCUUAUGGGCAGAGGCAACCAUAAACCAAUGACUAAAAAACCAUUUUAAAUCUGAUCAAAAUCGCAUAAUGACAAAAAAGAACUACAGCAACAGGUCUGAGUAAAUCCCAUCCGGCAGCUCUGGCGUUUGUAGAAAACCAGAGUGGGAAUUUUUUUUUUUUUUUUUUUAAGACAGAGUCUCGCUCUGUCGCCCAGGCUGGAGUGCAGUGGCGCGAUCUUGGCUCACUGCAAGCUCCGCCUCCCGGGUUCACGCCAUUCUCCUGCCUCAGCCUCCCGAGUAGCUGGGACUACAGGUGCCCGCCACCCCGCCUGGCUAAUUUUUUCUAUUUUUUAGUAGAGAUGGGGUUUCACUGUGUUAGCCAGGAUGGUCUCGAUCUCCUGACCUCGUGAUCCGCCUGCCUUGGCCUCCCAAAGUGCUGGGAUUACAGGCGUGAGCCACUGCGCCUGGCCCAGAGUGGGAUCUUAAAGCAGAGUCUGGCUCAAGAUUGAGACAAUUCCCAGCAGAAUGAAUGGAGCAGUAACACAGUCAGAAGGCCCUGAGGGAGGCAGGUGGCUCUCUCUGUUCCUGCCAGCACUCUCUCCCCCACUUCUGAUAACAGACCUGCCGUACCAUGGGAAGAUGGCCAAAAAUGGCCGCCCACGGUACUUGUUCCUCGGCUACAGUAAUUGGUCCAUGUGUAGGCAUGUGACCCAUCAUGACCAAUCAUAGCAGCCCACUUCUGAGCGGGGGCACAGCAAUUGUUCCAGGUGUAGUCAUGUGACUCAAGCAGGGCGAAUUCAGGAUUGUCUGCAGAGCUUGUGGGGAGGAUGUUUCUUUCUCUCCCUCCUCCUCUCUGGCAUCCAGGCCUUAAAGAGGUAGACUUGGCACUACCAGUGGCCUCAGACAAUAAGGCCAAUAAGCAGAGAGGAGGAGAAAUGAAACAUGAGGUGAGGGGGUUAGGACAGGAAGAGAACCCAGAGCUUCCAGUCCCUGGAUCCUAGAGAGCAAUACAGCCUCUUCCCUUUCCUCAUCGUAGCUACCCAGUGAAUAAAUCCCUCGUUCUACCUCAUUCAGAUCAACUUCAGUGCCUGUUGUUUGCAACCCACAGUGUCCCAAUUCAGGACUUGGGAACUGUUUUCCUUUUCAUGGAUUGUGUAGAACUGAAAGGGAUACGUCAUUCUCAGAACUUAUAUUCUUGUUCCGAUGUGCCAGCUGUACUUAAAAAUAAAAGAAUCCCAGACCCAUCUCCAUGUUCACCACCACCCCUCCUGUUAAUUUCCUGCUGAAUUGCAGCUCAACGCAUGUGCUGGGAUUUCAAGUCCUGCCCUAAUCAAUUUACUACCACCUCCCCAACCUUAACCCCAACCUACACGCACCUUCCUACGCUGGCCUGUGCGUGCAGCCUGCCCUGGCCUCUACUGUGACGCCUACCACGUUAUAUUUGUAAUGAUUUGUUUAUGACUGUCCCCAUACUAGGGAAGGCAUCGAGCUUGAGGAAGAGGCCCCAUUCAUCUCCGUACCCCAGGCCCUGGUACACAGCAGGCAGGUAGCAAGUAUGGGAGGGAGGUGGGGGAGGAAGAAGGGGGAAAAAAGGGAGUUCCUUCCUAUUUUCUCUCUAGUCCAACCAAUGUGUCACUCAUAGGCUCAAGUUCUGUAUUCGUUCCCUAUACCUGUCUACCUGUUUUCCUUUUUCCCUUUUUUUUUUUUUAAUGGAGUUUCGCUCUUGUUGUCCAGGCUGGAGUGCAAUGGCGCGUUCUCAGCUCACUGCAACCUCCGCCUCCUGGGUUCAUGCAAUUCUCCUGCCUCAGCCUCCCCAGUAGCUGGGAUUACAGGCGUGCACCACUAUGCCCACCUAAUUUUGUGUGUCUGUGUGUGUGUAUAUAUAUAUAUUUUAGAUAUUAUAUUAUAUAUGUGUUUUUUAUAUAUUAUAUAUAUAUAUAUACUUUUUUUUUUUUUUUUUUACUAGAGAUGGGUUUCACCAUGGUGAUCAGGAUGGUCUCGAACUCCUGACCUCAAGUGAUCCACCCACCUUGGCCUCCCAAAGUGCUGGGAUUACAGGCGUAAGCCACUGUGCCCAGUCCCUAUUUUCCUUUUUCUACCUGUCUGCCCUCAGGUAGACACAAACCUCAUGCCCUCACCACCUUCAAGCCUCUACUCCAGUCUACUCCAGUACCCCUUCCCUGACCCCCGGGUCCCUCUUUUUUGUUUUCUCACUCUCUGUAGCACCUUCUACCACCAUCCACCCUCCUCCGUGUUUUAUUUAUUUUGUUGAUUUCUCCUUCAUUGAAAUGUCAGCUCCAGGCGGGCACGCAUCUUUGUUGUGUUCUCUGCUGACUAUAUCCUCAGCACCUAGAACUGUGUCUGUCACCUAAUAGAUGCUCAGUAAGUAUCUGGAAUGAAUGGAUUAUUUGUGUUUGCCAACAUACACAGGUCUACCAAAGUUGUUUUCUCAUGUACCUGUGCAUUUCAUGCUUCUAAUAGGUAUAAGGGAAGUCUGGUUAUAUCUUUUCUUCCUGGGACUGCUAUAACAAAUUAUCACAGACUACAGGGCUUAACACAGCAGAUUCAUUUCAAAGUUCUGGUGGCCAGAAGUUGUAAAUCUAGCAGGGCUGCCCUCCCUCCAGGCACACUAGGGAAGAUGUGUGUCUUGUCUCUUCCACCUUCUAGUAGCUCUGGCGUUCCUUGGCUUGUGGCCGCAUCACUCCGGUCUCUGCCUCCGUCUUCUUACCUUCCUCUUCUCUCUGUCCUGGUCUCUGCUUCUCUCUUUUAAGGAUACAUGGAUUGCAUUUAGUUCCCAUCUGGAUAAUCCAGAACAAAUGCCUCCUCUCAAGAUCCUUAAUCAGUCUUUUUCCAGUGAUUCAGUUUGAAAGCAGACAUACUUACUAUCUCUCUGGGGGCUGCCAUUUAGCCUACUGCAGGUUAUCUGCAUAAAUAAAUCAGAAAAGCAGAGAUUCUCACCUCCUCCCAACUCUGUUGUCCUAGCAGGCAUGCAAUAAAGAGAGUAUCAUUGCGGUAUUAUUAUUAUUACUACAGCUCAGAGUGUGGAAAUGAUUUUUUAAACACCAUUGUAUGUUCUUUAAUUAUCCCAAAUUUUAAAAAUGAAACUAUGCCUAUAGUAAGAAAAAAUACAAAAGAGAAUAAGGUGGAAAUAAAGGGGCGAUUUGCCUUUUUUAAUUUAUUGUGUUUAGAGACAGAGUCUCAGUCUGUCACCCAGGCUGGAAUGCAGUGGUGUGAUCAUAGCUCACUGCAGCCAUGAACUCCUGGACUCAAGCAAUCCUCCCGCCUCAGCCUCCAGAGUAGCUGGGACUACCGGCUCAUGCCACCAUUUUUAUUUAAUUAUUUUUAUUAUUAUUCAUAGAGACAGGGUCUCACUACGUUGCCCAGGCUAGUCUCGAACUCCUAGCCUCAAGUAAUCCUCCCACCUCAUCCUCUCAAAGUGCUGGGACUAUAGGCUUGAGCCACCACGCCUGCCCUGCAAUUUUUCUUUAACUCCAACCUCACUUCUUUAUAAGACAUAACCACCGUGGGCAGUUUGCACAAUCUUUAUAAAUUUUGAAAGCAUGCACUUUUUUUGGCUCAUAGUGGUAAGAAAGUUGGGGGUAUACAAUAUAUCCCGACAGUUCUUAGACCCACCUCAUUCUUUCUAAUGACUUCUAGCAUCGCAUCAUACUUAACCUGUCUUCUACUGGCCAACUUUGCAGUUAACUCGAGGAUUUUGCCUUUAUAACAUCUAUAAUCUUUGGCAUGUGGCCAAGAAUACUUGUAGGAUAAAUUCCUAGAAGUGGAAUUUCUCAGUCAGAGGAGAUUUUUUUUUUUUUUUUUUUUUUUUUUUUGAGACAGUCUCGCACUGUUGCCCAGGCUGGAAUGCAAUGGCACAAUCUCGACCCACGGCAACCUCCACCUCCUGGGCUCAAGUGAUCCUCCUGCCUCAGCGUCCUAAAUAGCUGGGACUACAGGCCUGCACUACCACACCCAGCUAAUGUUUUUUGUAUUUUUUAGUAGAGACAGGGUCUUACCAUGUUGCUCAGGGUGGUCUUGACCUCCCGAGCUCAAGCCAUCCUUCAGCCUCCCAAAGUGCUAGGAUUACAGAUGUGAGCCCCUGCUCCCAGCCAAGAGGUGUGCAUUGUAAAUUUCUACAGCUAUUGCCCAGGGCCUUCAAAAGGUUAUCAUUCACAUGCACAUCAAGGGUAUACCUGUAGAGGCUGGGCUUGGUGGCUCACGCCUGUAAUCCCAGCACUUUGAGAGGCUGAGGCUGGAGGAUGGCUUGAGCUCAGGAGUUCAAGACCAGCCUGAGCAACAUGGCAAAACCCUGUCUCUAUAAAAAAUACAAAUAUUAGCCAGGCAUAGUGGCGCAUGCCUGUAGUCCCAUCUACUUGGGGGGCUGAUGCAGGAGGAUCGCUUGAGCCCGGGAGGUCGAGGCUACAGUGAGCUGUGAUUGUACCGCUAUACCCCAGCCUGGGUGACAAAGUAAGACCCUGUCCCUCCCCCACCAAAAAAAACAAGCCUACAUUGGUGAGGGUGCUGUUUCUGAUACCCUUUUCUACCCCAGCAAGAAUGCGGUGUGUCAGGAGAAGCAAAUCCCAAAUGAGGUAAGUGGAUUUUCUAUGUGGGCCUGGGUCGGGGCAGACAUGGCUUCUGAGGUUGUCCCUGUAGCUGUCUGAGGAGAUAAGCUAUUAAGAGCUCUUGUUAGUGUGGGUUUUAUUAACAAAGACAGAGUUUGGGGAGGUGAGCCAGAACCGUGCGGCAGCGAGAAGCGUUGUGCAAGUCGGUAUUUAUUUCUUUAGUGCAGUUAGAACUUAAAUAUGGUCAAAACAUACUCUUCUUUUAAUUUACACAAACAAAUAUGUUCCCAGGCUGACACCUCCCGUGCCAAGUUUCUAGGGGAAACAAAAUUCUACUGUGAGAUUAUAAACCACUCGAGAGAAGAUGAGAAUGGAAAAGCCGCCGAGAGUUAGCUCUCUCUACAUGCCCAGAACUGGGCUGCUAAAAGGUGUCUUUUUUUUCAUUGCAGAUAAACCUGCCAGUAAUUUCAGCAAAUGAAACGUGGAACACGUCAAGGCCAGAGGAUGGAAAAGGCUCCAGUUUUGAUAAAAGGAGGCCUGCUUGGCUUGGAAUCCUCUCUCCUGCUGGUUGGGAGAUGCAAAGAUGUUUCCAGAGAGGGGCUGAUGAAUUGAGGGGAAAGAAAUGAGCCCAGUAUGAGUCCCCUUUCAGGGCUGAGCGUGUAUAAAACCAAACAACUUGGAACCGCUCCAAGAGAGGGGAUUAAAGCAACAUGUUAUUCUGAGUGAUUGCUUAAUUUAUUGAGCUGCGGCUGGAUCUGUAAUGAAAUACAGCCCUUGUAACUGAUAACCUCCUGCUGCCAUUGAACUUCUACAAUUAAGGAAUAUUUUCUGAGUUUCUCUGGAACGGCUCUGAAUUUUUAGCCUCUGUGGUAGGGUGCUUCUGAACAUUUGUUUUCCAGGCAAUUUUUUUUGAGUAUUAGGCUGAUGUUAAUAAAUAAGCAGCAUUUUAUUGAGUGUUUUGUGGGAACCAGGAACUUUAUAUACAUUGUUUCUAAUCCUGACACUAAUCCUGUCAAUAUCCAGUGAAAUAACCCCUAUUAUUCCCUAUUUUACAGAUGUGAAGCCACGAGACGUUAGGUCAUUUUCUAGAGUGGUGCUGUCCAAGACAGUAGCUGUGAUGGCUCCUUGUGGCUAUUGAUGUGUAAAUUAGUUAAAAUUAAAUAAAUUUUAACAUUUACACCCUAGGUUGCACUAACAAUGAGUUCAAGUGCCCAGCAGCCCCGUGUACUGUGGCUGAUGGCUACCACAUUGGACAGUGCAGAUAUAGACCAUUUGAAGGUUGCACAAGUGCUAUUGGUCAGCACUGACUUAGAUUUCCUUUUUUUUUUUUUUUUUGAGAUGGAGUCUCGCUCUAUUGUCCAGGUUGGAGUGCAGUGGUGCAAUCUCGGCUCACUGCAACCUCCGCCUCCUGGGUUCAAGUGAUUCUCCUGCCCCAGCCUCCUGAGUAGCUGGGACUACAGGUGCAUGCCACCACGCCCAGCUAAUUUUUGUAUUUUUAAUAGAGAUGGGGUUUCACUGGCCAGGCUGGUCUCGAACUCCUGACCUCAGGGGAUCCACCUGCCUCAGCCUCUCAAAGUGUUGGGAUUACAGGUGUGAGCCACCACGCCCAGCCAGGUUCAGAUUUCAUAGCUAGAACCUGGCAGUGCCAGAAUUCAAGCCGAAGCUAAUGGGCUUUGAAGGCAGAGUUCAUCUGCCAGCCUUGUUGCUUCUUUUUCUUCCCUCUGCUGAGAAGCAAGGAACAGAGCAGUGACUGUAUCCCCUGGCUACACAUUAGAAUUACCUGCAAUUCUUUUUUUUUUUGAGACGGAGUCUCACUCUGUAACCCAGGCUGGAGUGCAGUGGUGUGAUAUUGGCUCACUGCAACCUCCACCUCCCAGGUUCAAGCAAUUCUCCUGCCUCAGCCUUCCAAGUAGCCGGGAUUAUAGGCACACACCACAACGCCCAGCUAAUUUUUGUAUCUUUAGUAGAGAUGGGGUUUCGCCAUGUUGGCCAGGCUGGUCUCGAACUCCUGACGUCAGGUGAUCCACCCUCCUUGACCUCCCAAAGUGUUGGGAUUACAAGCAUGAGCCACCGCACCCGGCCUACCUACAAUUCUUUUUUUUUGAGAUGGAGUCUCGCUGUCUCCCAGGCUGGAGUGCAGUGGCGCGAUCUCAGCUCACUGCAAGCUCUACAUCCCGGGUUCAUGUCAUUCUCCUGCUUCAGCCUCCCGAGUAGCUGGGACUACAGGCGCCUGCCACCACGCCCAGCUAAUUUUUUGUAUUUUUAGUAGAGACGGGGUUUCACCAUGUUAGCCAGGAUGGUCUCAAUCUCCUGACCUCCUGAUCCUACCACCUCGGCUUCCCAAAGUGCUGGAAGCUGUGAGCUUUUUCCCAAAGUGCUAGAAGCUCUGAGCCGCCACGCCUGGCCCCUGCAAUUCUUUAAAAAAAAUGAUGGUAGGGUCCCAGGCCCAGAUAAUCUGACUUCACUGUGAUUAAGCCGGGUGGGGACAGGCAUCAGAGGUUUUUCUACUUCCCCAUGUGAUGCCACUGUGCAGCCAGCACGUAGAGCAGCUAGGCGUGAGGACCCACACAGAGGAUGCUGGAAGCAGCUGGUUCAUCUGCCAGGAGAAUGCAGUAUCUUGUGACCAAGAAGUGGGCUUCUCCCAGGGCCACUUCUAAACCACCUCAUCAGAGAGCUCAGGUUCAUAUCCGAGGGAAGAAACUGAAGUGCUUUCUCACACGCUUCCAGCUUGAUGAGAAUCACAGUAGGGAGCUUUGCUUUUCCAAACAGGCUUUGUCACAUGAUCAUGGAAGAAAGGAGAUGCCCACGUAAGAUCACAGAGACAAGGUGAAAAACCCGUAGCCCCGAAUUGGAAUUGGAAGCAUCAGUAUGAAUUCAUGCUAUAUUUUUGUCUUACAAAGUAAAGCAGGUGUUUGCUAGCUCUGUCAACCAUAAAGUUUAGAAAUAAUGAGCCAUCCAAUAGCAGUGAACACCCCAGCACCCAGGUUAUGGUGUCUAAACGCCACUUCCGACUAGAAAUGAGGGCAUGAAGAAAUAACCAAUUCCAGGUCUGAGGCAAGAAAAAAAAUUCAAGAUGAGCCUGGAACAUCUGGUCAUUCCUUGCUUCCUUGAUAGCAAGGAAGGUGAGGGUCACAUUGAAAAGGAUGCAGGAGACAACAUGGAGUGGCUCCCAAUGGGGAGAGUUUGAGCAUCAUUAACAAUAAUGGGCCGAGCGCGGUGGCUCACGCCUGUAAUCCCAGCACUUUGGGAGGCCGAGGUGGGUGGAUCACAAGGUCAGGAGAUGGAGACCAUCCUGGCUAACACAGUGAAACCCCGUCUCUACUAAAAAUACAAAAAAUUAGCCGGGUGUGGUGGUGGGGUACCUGUAGUCCCAGCUACUCGGGAGGCCGAGGCAGGAGAAUGGCGUGAACCCAGGAGGCGGAGCUUGCAGUAAGCCGAGAUCAGGCCACUGCAUUCCAGCCUGGGCAACAGAUCGAGACUCUGUCUCAGAAAAAUAAAUAAUAAUAAUAAUAAUAAUAAUAAUAAUAAUAAUGACUAUAGGCCAGGUGCGGUGGCUCACACCUGUAAUCCCAGCACUUUGGGAGGCCAAGGUGGGCAGAUCACUUGAGGUCAGGAGUUAGAGACCAGCCUGGCCAACAUGGUGAAACCCCAUCUCUACCAAAAAUAUAAAAAAUUAGCCGGGUGUGGUGGCAUACACAUGUAAUCCCAGCUACUUGGGAGGCUGAGGCAGAAGAAUCGCUUGAACCCAGGAGGCGGAAGUUGCAGUGAGCCAAGAUUGUGCCACUACACUCCAGCCUAGGUGACAGAGCAAGACGCCCAUCUCAAAAAAAAAAAAAAAAAAGAAUGACUUUAAUGGAUUGAAACAUGUCAUAUAUGUCCAAAUCUAUGAGUUGACAAUACUUAAAAAAAAAAAAAAAAAGAAAAAUUCAUUUAUCACCAUGGGAGGAUAUUGGAAAACCCAACUCAUUUUGAAAACUGUCAAAGAAAGGGAAAGAAGCAUUUAUCCUUUUUGGUACAAACCAUACUUUUUGGUAGCCAAAUAGUUGAUAAAUUGAUACCUUUUAUAGACAUAUGUCCACUACCAAAGACAGAAUCAUAGAAUUAGUAUGCCACCAUGUUGUAAUAUCUAAUGAAAUAAUGGGCCAGGUGUAGUGGCUCAUCCCUGUAAUCCCAACACUUUCGGAGGCCGAGAUGGGAAGAUUGUUUGAGGCCAGAAGUUCAAGACCACCCUGGGCAACACAGACCUGUCUAUGCAACAAGAUCCUGUCUCUACAAAAAAAAAAGAAAAAAAAAAAAUUAGCCAGGUUUGGGCAUGUGCCUGUAGUCCCAGCUGUUUGGAAGGCUCAGGUGGGAGGAUCCCUUGAGCCCAGGAGGUCAAGGCUGCAGUCAGCUAUGAUUGCACCACUGCACUCUAACCUAUGUGACAGAGCAAGACCCCUCAAAAAAAAAAAAAAAAAAGAAGAAGAAAUUGUGGAUCUAGACAAUGAUCAUCAACAACAGCUGCUAACAUUGCAAAGAGGAACAACCAGAUAGUGUGUGCCUUUGAAUGGAAGUACAAAACCACCAAUAGGAAGUACUCAUACAAAAAAAAAAAAAUCAAACAUCAAUCUAAGUUAUCUCCUAGGCCUAACUACCAAUUUCUAAGAAAUAUAGCGGGAAGAGGAGCACAUGACACUUCUAUGGAGAUGCUAUAACCAAAAUUCAGACCACAGGAAACUACAGAACAAACAAGCCAGUUUCUUCAACAAAUAAAUUGCAAAGGAAGAAAAAGACAAGGGAAGAGAACCUACAGGUUAGGAGAGAUACAAAAGCAAUCCCAACCGAUGGCAACAUUCGAACUUUAUUUGGAUCCUGAUUUUAACUAGCUAAAGAAACCCUUUAGCUGGGCGCGGUGGCUCACACCUGUAAUCCCAGCACUUUGGGAGGCCAAGCCGGGUGGAUCACAAGGUCAGGAGUUCAAGACCAGCCUGGCCAAGAUGGUGAAACCCCGUCUCUACUAAAAAUACAAAAAUUAGCCAGGUGCAGUGGCGUGCACCUGUAAUCUCAGCUAUUCAGGAGGCUGAGGCAGGAGAAUCUCUGAAACCCAGGAGUCAGAGGUUGCAGCGAGCUGAUAUCAUGCCACCGCACUCUAGCCUGGGCAACAGAGCAAGACUCCGUCUCAAAAAAAAAAAAAAGAAACGCUUUAUGAGAUAACCAGAGAAAUCUGAAUACUAACUGGGUAUUUGCUGAUAGUAAAAGCAUUACUGUUAUUAAAUAGUUUUAGGAGGAGUGAAGGUGGCCAAAAAAAAUUUUUUGGAGUUAUACAUUGAAAUGUUUGUAAAAGAAAUGACUGACGUCUGAAAUUUGCUUCAGAGUAAUCUGGGAUGAGGGAAGGGGAAGAGGGCGUGGAUGGAAUAAGGUUGGCUGAGACUUGACUGCUGAAGCCAGGCUUAUUGUACCACACGCUCCGUUCCUAUGUGUGCUUGAAGCUUUUCACAAUAAAAAGAAAAAAGAGGUAAAGACCAGCCUUUUCCUUCCUUUCUCUCAAUGCUUAGUGUGUCCACCCACUGCUGGCAUCUCUGGGACAAGCCUGGGUAGCAGGCUUGAGAUAGAUCUUCACGCAUCCCACCCCCGUCUCCAUGGCAACCAGUGGGGAGGGAAAGCUGCAUCCACAAAGUUCUGGUCCCCACAGGGGUGAGGCCAGGCCACCAGUGUCAUGCCAGGCCCUGUCUUGCUGCUCCCUUGGGAGAAUUCCCACCAGAACUGCCUCCCUGCACCCAUUCCCCAUCCCUCUGGCCCUCCCUGUGUGCCCCCUGAAGAAGUAGGGGCCAGUCAGUGGAGAGAACAGGACUCUCAAUCAGAUCCAGGUUCAAAUUCUGACUUCACCACUUAAUGGCAGGAUCGGAAACCUCCCUGAGCCUCAUUUUUUUUUCAUCUAUAAAAUGGGCAUACAGUUUUAUUUAAUGUUUAAAAAAGGCAGGGGGCACGACUGGGCAUGGCUCAUGCCUGUAAUGUCAGCACUUUGGGAGCCUGAGGCAGAAAGAUCACUUGAGCCCAGGAGUUUUAGAACAGCCUGGGCAACAUAGUGAGACCUCAUCUCUACAAAAAUUUUAAAAAAUAGGCCGGGCACGGUGGCUCAUGCCUGUAACCCCAGCACUUUAGGAGGCUGAGGUGGGCAGACUGCUUAAGCUCAGGAGUUCAAAACCAGCCUGGGCAACAUGGCAAAACCUCGUCUCUACUAAAAACACAAAAACUAGCAGGGCAUGGGGGGACACGCCUGUAGUCCCAAGUUACUCGGGAGACUAAGGUGGGAGGAUCACCUGAACCCUGGAGGUCGAGGCUGCAGUGAGCUGUGAUUGCACCACAGCACUCCAGCCUGGAGGACAGAACGAGACCCUGUCUCAAAAUAAUAAUAAAAUAUAUAAAGCUGGUAUAAUGUGACCUUUGUUGAGUUAGUUGCUCAACACAUCUUUACUAUGAAUGGACAGUGACAAAAAAGGAUCUAGUCUCCAACUCAUGGAACUCUACUCAGGGGUGAGAGGCAAUCUCCAUAGGCCACUGCACCUGGCCUCAUGUUCCACUUUUUAAAAAAAUUAGCAGUCACAACUCCCAGUCAUACUUUUCAUUAACCAGAACAUCUAUACUUUUCAACUAUGAGUAUCUAGUUAUGGCAAUCACACAGGAUCAUUUCAUUUAAUUUAGCGCUCACAUUUCUUAUUUAUUUAAUGUAUUUAAUUUAUUGAGAUGGAGUCUCGCUCUGUUGCCCAGGCUUGAGUGCAGUGGCAUGAUCUCGACUCACUGCAACGUUUGCCUCCCGGGUUCAAGUGAUUCUCCUGCCUCAGCCUCCUGAGUAGCUGGGAUUAAAGACACGCACCACCAUGCCCAGCUAACUUUUGUAUUUUUAGUAGAGAUGGGGUUUUACCAUGUCGGCCAGGCUGGUCUUGAACUCCUGGCCUCAAGUGAUCCACCCGCCUUCACCUCCCAAACUGCUGGGUUACAGGCGUGAGCCACUGUGCCUGGCCUAGUGCUCACAUUUCUAUGAGCUAAGUCACAUUAUUCCCAUCCUGUGGAGGGAGAAGCUUAGGCACAGAGAGGUGAGAUACCUUGCCAAAGGCCACACUACUGGUGUGGCCUUCUGUGGCCCUGUCUUCUGUGCUCAGCCCUCUGUGCAUUGAUGAAGCUUUGAAAUGCCACAGCAGGGCCAGGAAAUCAGUGCUGCCAGAAGACUGAAAAGCUCUCCAGAUCAUUUUCCAAAUGAAGAAACAGUGGCCCAGAGAAGCCAAGUAACUUGACUGGGGCCACAUAGCAAAUGGGUAGCUGAGCCUGUGUUCACACUGCUUGGGGAGAUGGUGCAGGGAAGCCCUAUUCAGUGAGGGAAGCCAACUCUUACUGCCCCCAUGUAAUCCUGUCCUAAAGCAGGGUGGCCAGCCAUCCCAGCGUGCCUAGGACUAGGAGGUUUUUGGGACUGGAGACAUUAGGUGCUAAAACCAGGAAAGCUCUGGGCCAACUGGGAUGAGCUGGGCAUUCCAUCCCAUAGACAGUAAGGUGUCUAAAUGGUUAUUUCCAGGAAAUGAGGCUUUGGGAUGGAGCUGGCUGGCAAGAACCAUCAAGACCCCGUUGAAAGACUAGGGUUUUAUGUCUAUGAUACCCUGGAGAUUCCACCUAUGUGUCACCUCAGUGGACUCCGCGGGGGCCCACGGCCUGGCAUCCUAUUCUGCCCCCAAACAGCUAAAGUGCUCUAAAUCCUAAACCUAAUUGCCCCAUGUCCCAGUAUGCAAACCUAAAUGGUUUCUCAUUUUCCCCCCAUUGCCUUAGGACCAACCAUAAACUCUGCUGGCCCAGGAGACCCUUGGUGGGCUUGCCUCUGUCCACCUGGUGCUGCCUCUCUCUGCAACCCACCCCACCUCACCCCUACAAAAUUCCAAGCAAGGACAGGAUAACCAAAGACUUCUCACUUCACCCCCCUUCACCCACGUAACCUUUAUCUUAGCAUCCUACCCUUUUCUUCCAUGACAUCAGUGCAAUUGUAAUUACACAGCUAUUUGUAUAAUUAGCUGAUUAUUAAUAUCUAGCCUCCCCCACCCCUGGCUAGACUGUCAGCCCACAGGGGCGGGGGUGGGUGUGUGAUGUGCACUGUUUUACAGCCUGACUCAGUGGAGACACAUGAAUGACACUCAAAAGUCACUGAAUGGGCCAGACAUGUGGCUCACACCUGUAAUCCCAGCACUUUGGGAGGCUGAGGUGGGCAGAAUGCCUAAGGUCAUGAGUUCGAGACCAUCCUGACCAACAUGGCAAAACACCAUCUCUACUAAAAGUUACAACAAUUAGCUGGGUGUGGUUACAUGCGCCUGUAUAGUCCCAGCUACUCGGGAGGCUGAGGCAGGAGAAUUGCUUGGGCCUGGGAGGUGGAGGUUGCAGUGAGCCAAGAUCACAUCACUGCACUCCAGCCUGGGAGACACAGCGAGACUCCAUCUCAAAAAAAAUAAUAAUAAAAUGGCUGGGCACGGUGAUCCCAGCACUUUGGGAGGCCAAGGCAGUUGGAUCACUUGAGGUCAUGAGUUCAAGACCAGCCUGGCCAACAUGGUGAAACCCCAUCUCCACUAAAAAUACAAAAAAUUAGCUGAGUGUGGUAGUCCAUGCCUGUAGUCCCAGCUACUCGGGAGGCUGAGGCACAAGAAUUGCUUGAACCCGGGAGACAGAGGUUGCAGUGAGCCGAGAUCAUGCCACUACACUCCAGCUUGGGUGACAGAGCGAGACUCUGUCUAAAAAAAAAGGAAAAAAAAAAAAAGUCAUUGAAUGGCCCCACCAAAGACUGCUAUCACCUCCAACUGGGCCUCCAUCUGAAAUCACAGAAACCCUCCAUAGCCACCAGGGUCUCCACUUCCCAGGCUGCUAUCCAUGAUGUCACAGGAUGGAAAAUGAUCCCAGAAAAAGACUGGCAAAGGGAGAAGCUCCUGGAGGAGGACGUGGAAGGCAGGAUUGGUGUGGUUUUUAAUUACUGUACCUGUUCUGACCACAUUUUCUUAGCUCUGCUCACAUCCCUACUUCAAUAGUAGCUUAGGACAACAAAACAAAAACAUCAGCCCCAGAGUUUGAGACAAGAUAUCUCACUGGUUCCCUCUUUGCCGGUAAUUAACGCUGAAAAGUUUCAAUACUUAUCUUGGCAGCAAAGGUAAUAAUACAAACGCACAGCCAGAUUAUUUGGCUGCUAAUUCUCUUCUUGAUGUUUUCCUUCCCCUUUCCUUAAAUUAAUUCCAGAGUUCUUCCAGAUUUCUCGUUGCUAAGCUAUAAAGUUCCAGGUUUCCGCAGCAUGGCUGCUAAUUGGCAGGGAGUUACCAGGCAGCUCCAAUCAGAACCAGGUUGUUGAAAGGAGCGUCCACACUACAGCUCGCUCAGAGGUUUUGGAAUUUUCUCGCUGACAUUAUGAACCGCAAAGGUCUUUGCCUAACUCUGCAGAACCUGUUUUCUUGAUUUGGCUGUUGGGCGACACCAGACGCCUUGGACUUUCCCUAGGAGGCGUGGGGAGUCCCUGGGUCUCCUGGUUAGGGUCAGUGACAGGGAUGCUCAGAGCACAUUCAUGGCUCACCACAGACAAUGUGACCCCCAACACUGCUGCAGAAAGGGUGCCGCAAGCCCCCCAGGACUGACCUCUCACAUCCAUCUCCCAAGCAUGUUGACAGACUAUCUGGAGGAGGCUGAUGAUACCUCUGAACUUAGGAUUUUAGGGGUGAAGGUCAUAUUUGUAAAGGACUUUAAAACACCCAAAUGGAGGGCCAUUUGGUGAUCUACCUCCAGAAUCAUAAUGAAAACCAUCACCAUGAACUGAGUUUCUACUGUACACCACAAACCAUAUUCUCAUCUGUUCCCAUCCUAAAACUCCCACUGGACCAGCUGGGAACCUGACAGCUGCUGCACUGUUGGUUCCACUUGCCUGCUGCCGUCUUCUAGGAGCAGAAAGUCAUGUGACCCGGGCCUGGCUACUGUGAUUGGCUCUGUGAUGAGCACAUGACAAAGCUGGGCCAAUCAGAAUCUUCCCUGAGACUUUUUUUGCCAGAUAGGAAAAGACUCCCCAACCCUACCGUUGCUAAGCUGGUGCCCAUUGGGAACACAUAUGGAAGGUGCCUGAGAAAUAUAAGAAGCCCCCAAAGAUAUGCAGUCCCUAUGACAAUGCUUGAGCCUUAGAUGCACCUGUAGAGGAAGCCAGAUCUACUUCCUGGAUUUGACAGUUACAGGAAUAGUAAAUUCUUUUACUGCUUAAGCCAGUUUACCUUUGUGUCUGUUGCUUCUUGCUGAAGAGUGCUAAGUAAUGGGGUUACAUAGCUUCUCUGCAUGGUGCCUUGGCUCUAAGGCAGGCAGUUUGCUUAUAUUCCUGCAUAGGGUCUUCACAAUUACCUGGUGAGGCACUCCAUUUUGCACCUGGGGAAACUGAGGCUCAGAAGGGUAAGGGAGGCUUGCCCAGGUAACAUGGUCACUGUGUUCUCAGGAGUUCAAACCUG
rnacentral:lncRNA from 1 species